rnacentral:rRNA from 1 species
UACGGAGGAUCCAAGCGUUAUCCGGAUUUAUUGGGUUUAAAGGGUGCGUAGGCGGGAGAUUAAGUCGGUGGUGAAAUUUUGCAGCUUAACUGUAACAGUGCCGUUGAUACUGGGGAGCUAGGAUUUGGUUGCUGUGGGUGGAAUGUGUGGUGUAGCGGUGAAAUGCUUAGAGAUCACACAGAAUAUCGAUUGCGAAGGCAGCUCACAAAGCCAAGAUUGACGCUGAGGCACGAAAGUGUGGGGAUCAAACAGGAUUAGA